AUUGAACGCUGGCGGCAGGCCUAACACAUGCAAGUCGAACGCGUGGCGGACGGGUGAGUAAUGUCUGGGAAACUGCCUGAUGGAGGGGGAUAACUACUGGAAACGGUAGCUAAUACCGCAUACCAUCGGAUGUGCCCAGCGGGGAUUAGCUAGUAGGUGGGGUAAUGGCUCACCUAGGCGACGAUCCCUAGCUGGUCUGAGCGGAUGACCAGCCACACUGGAACUGAGACACGGCCCAGACGCCUACGGGAGGCAGAAGUGGGGAAUAUUGCACAAUGGGCGCAAGCCUGAGUCAGCCAUGCCGCGUGUAUUAAGAAGGUCUUCGGGUUUUAAAGUUCUUGCAGCGGGGAGGCGUUACCCGCAGAAGAAGCACCGGCUAACUCCGUGCCAGCAGCCGCGGUAAUUC
rnacentral:rRNA from 1 species